rnacentral:rRNA from 1 species
GGGGGCCCGCAAGCGGUGGAGCAUGUGGUUCAAUUCGACGCAACGCGAAGAACCUUACCUGGGCUCGAAAUGUAGUGGAAUCGGGUGGAAACAUCCGCGUCUCGCAAGAGACUGCUAUAUAGGUGCUGCAUGGCUGUCGUCAGCUCGUGUCGUGAGAUGUUGGGUUAAGUCCCGCAACGAGCGCAACCCUUAUCCCUAGUUGCCAUCGGGUCAAGCCGGGCACUCUAGUGAAACCGCCUGGGAUAACCAGGAGGAAGGUGGGGAUGACGUCAAGUCCUCAUGGCCUUUAUGUCCAGGGCUACACACGUGCUACAAUGGUCGGUACAAACCGUCGCAAACCCGCGAGGGGGAGCUAAUCGGAAAAAGCCGGCCUCAGUUCGGAUUGGAGUCUGCAACCCGACUCCAUGAAGCUGGAAUCGCUAGUAAUCGCGGAUCAGAACGCCGCGGUGAAUACGUUCCCGGGCCUUGUACACACC